rnacentral:tRNA from 1 species
GGGUGUAGCUCAGUGGUAAAGCGUGUGCUUAGCAUGCAUGAGGUCCUGGGUUCAAUCCCCAGUACAUCCA